CUUCCCCCUCCUCCCCUCCCAAUCUAGCAUUCCCCCAUUUUCACCCGCCUCGCGCCAUUCAUCUCCCCGCAAGUGGCAUCCAAACCCCAUUCUCCAUCCCCCCGCUUUUGGGAGGGGAGGGGAGGGGAGGGGGGCUUGGCGGCGCGCGCGGAAACUUUCCAUCUCCCCUUUUUCCCCGACCAAGACCCAGGCGGCCCUUUCCUUUCCUCCCCAGACACGCCAGACCACACCACCCCCCUUCAGCCCCUUUUCCCGCUUCGCUCCGACCCCUCGCAAGAGGUCGGGCUUGGAGGGGAAGGGAAAAGGGAAGGCGCCCUUCGAGGAAGAGGAGCAGGAGGAAAGGAAGGAGAGCCGCCGGGGAAGGGGUGAGCUAUGCCGCCCUCUCGCCGCCUUUCCUGGGUUCUUUUCUUCGCCUCGUCCUCCCCCGCGAAAUGCCCUCCAAGGUUCCCCAGGGCUCUUUAGGCCUCGCCCGGGGGGGGGGGGGAGAUGGAGGGCGAGCCUUUCUGCUCUCGGGGCAGGUUUAGCGGGCUGCGAAUGGAGCCGUCAGGCGGGACGAAGAGGCCAGGGAAAGUCUCUGGCUGGGAGGCGAGACUUUUUGUUUUGUGUGAUUUGUGCGCGCCCCCCCCCCCUUUCGGAAGAGGUGACUUGAGCAAAUGCUCUUUGGCAAGGCAAGGCGAAGAGGGGAGGCUGGGGAGAGGGCUCUUCCGCCAGCCUCUCCUCCUCCUCUCCAGCCACACGUUGCAGAGACUUGAGGAAUCAGCAGCCAAAAGACCACCACUGAAAUGCAUACAACAAGGGUCUCCAAACUAAUGCUCACAGAUAUCGUGAUAUUCAUUUUGUAGUCACAAGAUUAUAAGAGACAAUUGGAGCCCUGUAGGACUAUGGUGACCAACCAAGAUUCUGCAUUAACAGAUGUUUCUACAACAAUGGAGGUCCAUCGUCAUAGCUGUAUCUCCUGAUGUAACCCAACAAAACCUACCUUAGAAGCCAUACAGUAACCACCAACACAGGGACCUCAGCAGAGCACUGAAUGAAGAAGCACCCUACCUUCUUCCAGCAGUAAAGCAUGUUACGAAAAACAACUGGAAAUUGCAUAAACUGCAAUCUGAUUUAGUAUUCUAAUAUACAGUGUUUUUCAUUUCCCCUUAUAAUUAUUGCACUCUUAGAAGGUUUUUUGAGACUGGAAUUUCUCUGAUUAUAAAAUCUCUGUUUCUGCAUGGCACUGAGCUAGUGAGAUGUUGUUAUAUAAUGUGGGCUUCUUUACUGUUCAGUUUUAUUUUUCUUUACUUAUCUCAGUGAAGUAUCUGAACAGCAGGAUAAUGCACCAAACACUAAUCUGCCAUGUGAGCUAUAUCUGAAUGGUUGAGAUCCUGGCCACAGUCCACACAUGUGUAACACAUAAAUCAGCAGAUACCGAAGCGUUAUUGCUACCAUGGCACAAAGGAGACCUUUGUAUUCAGGCAGUCUUUGGGUAAUUAAGUGGAUGCUAAUGAAGGAACUUUAGGUAAGAGUGAUGUUUUUUUUCUAUGUGUCUUUAAAUUUCUUUUUAAUGUUAUUGUUUUUUAAUACAAUGAUCAGUUUAAUUCUGUUGUAAUAUUUUAAUAUAUCCUAGUGCUAGUUCCAGGUGGUAGACUAUACCCAUUUUUUGAUCUAUGUGUUAAUUCACAAUAAUUGAAUAGUUCCUAUCCAAGUUGGAACUAAUCGCAGGAUUUCUGUUGUUGUGUUUUUGAUGGUUACUUGUUUCUUAACCAUAUUGCGAGCCACUUCGUAAUUCGGGAAUGGAUGGGAUAUUAAAUAAAUAAAUAAAUAAAUAAGCACUUCACUUGUAUUUCAAGAGAGAGAAAAACUGUGUUGGUGCUUCUUCAAGGGAACAAAGAGAAUAAAGGAACAAGGGAACAAAGGAAAAGAAGCCUCCCCCUAUGAACCAUCUGGGGAGGCCCUGCUCUCAGUCCCACUUCCUUCGCAGGUGUGACUGGCGAGGAGGAGAGACAGGGCCUUCUCAGUGGUGGCCCCUCGGCUGUGGAAUUCCCUCCCCAGGGAUAUUAGAUCAGCCCCCUCCCUCCUGACCUUCCGAAAGAGAGUGAAAAUGUGGUUUUGGGAUCAAACCUUCAGAGAACAAUUGUAGUGCAAUUGAUGGAUAUGGAAUUAUGAACAAUGACUACUGGAAUGGCCCAAACUAUGAUUGCGGAUAGCGUGCUUAAUAGUGAUUGUAAUGUUUUUAAUGUGUUUUAAAUUCUAUUUUAAUAUGUUUAUUUUAAUUGUACAGUGUUUUAAGGCAUCAAAUAGCUGCCUAUAUGCCUAUAUGCCUUGAGUCCCCUUCGGGGUUGAGAAGGGUGGGAUAUAAAUAGGGUAAAUAUAAAUAAGUAAAUAAACAAGUCUCUUUCUCUAGAUGUCUUUAGAAAGAGGCUAGAUGGCUACCUGCUGGGGAAGCUCUCACUGGAGAUUCUGCAAUGAGCAGGGAACUGAUGCUAUGGAUGAUGAGGAUUCUUCCAGUUCUAUGAUUCACCAUUCUCUUAUCUGGAGUCAAGGCUUCAUGACAAUUUCGAAGAAAGGAAAAUAAAGAAUGAUCUUCUGGCAGAUAGAAAUAUUUAAGGCCCUAGCUCCUUCAGCGUUUCCACUAAGACAAAGACAUGAAACAUCAACUUCACUGCUGCCAAAGGAAUUAUUAUUGCUGAACAUCCAAUCUCUCUUCUAGUGUGACUCCAACACUUUAUGACCUCAUGGCACUUCUUGAUCAGAUUUCAAUGCACAGUCACUGGACUCCAACAUUGGACUCCAUUGCAACAGCGUAUGAAGAUGGUCACCCACCAACCGUCUGCAAAUCGAGAUGAGAAACUCCCCCCUGGGCACACAGAAGACUGGGUGACUUCAAAGGUGCUGAACAGACUGUGGUCUGGCACCAUGAGAUGCAAAGCUAGCCUUAAGAAAUGAGGCUACAAAGUGGAGUCCAUGACAUGUGAGUGUGGAGAAGAGCAAACCACAGACCACUUACUAUAAUGGAACAUGAGUCCUGCCACAUGCACAAUUCACAGCAACACCAGGGGCACUCCAAGUGGCCAGCUUCUGGUCAAAGGAAAUUUAGUAUAAUGGCAAUUUUUUACGUUGUUUGUGGUUUUUCUAUACAUUAUAACUGUAUUCUCAAUUUGUUUCUGACACAAUAAAUUAAUAACCCAACAACCUGUAGAAUAAUGUGCUCUCUUUUUUAAUAUUGCCAUUGCAAUAAACUGUGUCUUUUGGCAAUGUUAAUCCUAUAUUUUGGUCAUAGAUAUAUUUGUCAAUGUGGUUCUUUGCUUUUGCUGCAUUUGAUUUUAUCUUGUUAUUACCUGUACUUGUUACCUAAUUUUUGAUUGAUUUACAAGGCUUUUAUGUCAGAGAUUGAACAGUAUAACUUGAAACACACAAACAAAAUAUUUUUACUAUCACAAUUCUCUCAAAAGGUGAAGAGCUUAGAUUAGCAUGGGGCAUUGAUGUGUUAUCAAAAAUUAAAUCACAAAAUUAUGAAUUGUUAUCUGUGGCUCCAUUGAGAUAUGCAGCGAGCAUGCAUUGGAUUUUUCCUUGCCAGCUAAUAACCUUUCAUACAUUUUCCUUGGAAUGUUGUAAAAUGUUUCCUACCACACCUUAGGACCUUUAAUAAUGGCUUUAUGAUUAUCAUAAUCCCCUCAUAAUACCCUGGAAAAAAAUCUCAAGACACAUAAUGGAUUUUCUCAUGAAGAGACACAAAUGUUUCCCACCUUUAUCUGAUUUUAUCUAAAACUUUAUCCUGGGAACAUUGCUUCAACUAUAACAUCUACCGAGACCUCCUCUGUGUAUCCUACAUUGUGUGUAACUGUGCGUUAGACACCUGUUGUCCAUUGGCUGACAACUCCUUUGUCUAGCUGGCAUUGGACCAUCAGGAGCUAUCAACCAACCAUCAAACCAAAUUCUACCCAGAGGCACCCAGUUUCUGGGAAGGACUCACAAACAGAUAUCCACAAAUAACAAUUUAUUAAAUUUCCCACCUCACCUCUGAUUGGCUCAGGGACAGAAGUGGACUCGUACCUCCUCCAGUGGGGCUGCAGAUCCUAGCCAGCAUCAUCCAGGACAAACAACAAACUGGCACAGCAAUUUUUCAACUGUUCUGUACUGCUUCUUCUUUCUAUCAAAUGUACUAUAAAUAAACCCAUGCAUUCACAAUUAUGGGUAUGUCAGUUCUUUGGAGUGCUGUCCCUGCUGACAUCUUCUUUAGUAAUUGACAUUAAAGCCUCUGAUUUUGCCUUCAACCCAUCUGUGUCUCCAAACACAUGGUUCUUGCAAAAGCUGAAAUCAUAUAACAAAUGCAAACAUCAACCACCUGUUUAUCCAGCUCCUGCCUCCAGAAAUUGGACUGCUAAGGAACAUGGAAUGAGAGCUCAAGUGAAAACUACUCUGGCCUAUCUUCUUCCACCCCAAGGCCCAUUAAGAGCAUCCUCAAGUAGAAUCAAAGGCAUGCAGGCCUGCUCCCACACCUGAUCUGAACUCAGACCCAAACCUCUAAAGUCAUAACAAAUGAAAUAAAUUACAGAGUUAUUACAUAAAAUUAACUUGUAUACAAAGCCAAGAGAAAAAGGUGGGGUGAAACCUAAAAUCCAAAUGAAGAGUGUAGGCAACGGGAGUGGAUUUAAGUGUGUCCAUCACACCAAACAAAAGUCCUCUGCAGCUUACAUCUGCCCAUAUUUGCCUUCUGAAAAAUACUGGUUUCACCUUUCCUAGGAAGCCCACAAACUUUACAGACCUUCGGGAAUACAGUCACAACCACAGCUUAGCACUUGCCCAUGGGAUCCCCAAUUAUGGCUGGAGGCCUGAGCACAAUGAGAUACACAAACAAACACAUACACACACAUGGAAAAGAAUAGGUCUGGGCAUGGAGUGGUUAUACAGAGAGCAGCAACUGAUUCUUUUGUAGAGAGUAGCAACUGCCAACCUAGACACAUGCAAAGCUCGAGAAAGAAACAGUUCAUUUGGUCCAUAUCUGGGUCCUGAUGGAGGAAGAUAUAAUGUUUUAUGCUGGUUCUUUCACAACAGGAGAUAAGAAAUAAAAUGCCAAAGAUGUCAUAUUUUGACAACUCUCCUUUGCCCAUAACACUAGGGGUAUAAUUACUUAUGUGAAUACAUCUACAUUUCUACAAUGGAAGGUAAUUGAAUAAAAUGCCAACAGUCAAGAUAAGGCUGAAGGAAGACACAUUUGUAUUUCCACAGGAUUCACAUAGCUCUGAAAGAUAUUCAUAUUUUGAUGGGCAAAAUCGGCAAGCUGUAGGUUCUGACUAAUCUUAUGCCAUAGUUUAUGUAAGCAGAGCACAUCUUCAUCUCUAUAAAUUGCACACUGAAGUACAAAGAUACUGUUCAUGUGUAAGGUCACUCACAACAUUUUUCUUCAGGGAGCAAAGUACAUCAAUAAUAUUUCUCUAAAUCUUUUUUUUCCUACUAUAAAGAGGGGGAAAUAACAACUCUUCUUCUAAAGGCCACAUUCUACUUAUGGAAACUUUUAGGCAUUUGCCCACAAAAGUUUGUUUUGUCUAUCUAUCUAUCUAUCUAUCUAUCUAUCUAUCUAUC